GAUAACGCCGAUCUCCGAUCCCGGUCCUUCCUCCGCCGUGACUGGUGGCUCCGUGGUGUAGCUGCUGGAUGGGAGCCUACAAAACAACGCCGGCGGGGGGGUUUGGCCCCAAAGCGCCUCCGGCGUGAGAGUAAGCGUAGGUUUUGGAAGGGUAAAGAUACGAGAAAGUGUUAUCUAUGUGUGGUGGGUGAAGGUGUAUGUGUGGUGGUUGCUGGUGGCUGAGAGUGUUUGAGUAUAUGCUGAGUGUAAGUGUGUGUAUGAAUGAGUGUGUAGAGAGAGUUCAGUUAACCCCUAAACUCUUGAUCCUUGGUCUAUUUAUAGGCCAAGGAUUAGGGUUUAAGGGUGAGUACCUGGAUCCUGGUCCUACACGUGUAGGGGUUUGAUCCCCAACACGUGUCCAGGUGUCAGCGUAGGAGUAGUAUUUUGGAAUGUUCCCUGGCUUGUCUCUAUCGCCAGUAGUUGACCGUUGCAUUUGUCUUUAUUGUGUCAGUCCGUGCCUCGUGCAGCAAGUGUCGGCUGGUACAAGUUUGGACCCCGGUCGAGGGACAUGUUUAGGAGGUACCCGGGUCCAAUUCCUGUCCCGGGUGACGUAGGCCUGAGAUGCCAUACUCCCAGAGGAUCAUGGCUUUCAAGAGGGUCCGGGUGACGUAGACCCGGGUUAUACCAUAUCAUUUGCCCCCCACUCCCUUAUAUAGAUUCUCUAUGUGAGGGAGUAGAGUGGAGUUCUCGCUUUUGCUGUCUUUGGCCGGAUGGACCCGGGCAAAGUUAGGUCACCGUGUUUGCCCUGUGCCUGGAUGGCCCCGGGUGUAGGUGGGAGUCGGAGUUUGUCCCCCUACCCGAGCAGACUUGGGUAAGGGUAGAAUUUUGUGGUUGCCCCCCUGCCCGGGUAGACCCGGGUAAGGGUAGAAUUUUGUGGUUGCCCCCCUGCCCGGGUAGACCCGGGUAAGGGUAGAAUUUUGUGGUUGCCCCCCUGCCCGGGUAGACCCGGGUAAGGGUAGAAGUAUCGCUGAAGUUUUCCCCGUUUAGGUCCGGUCAGGGGACUGCCCUCUCCCUUGGAUCCGGGUAGUGGUCGCAGCCUUUCGUCCGGGGUUGCUUGCCGGGUGGAUCCGGGUGACUAAGAUGGGGUCCGGGUCCGCCGGAGAUAGAUCGACAAUUUUCUCAAGGGAAUUCCGGGGGGUUUUUGCGCACAGCUGUUUCUUUUAUUUUGAAACUUGAACAGGCGCGCCUUUUGAGGAGGGGUAAUAAUGAAACGGCUGUAAUUAUUGCCGUGCGACCAAUGGAAAACAGCCACGUGGCCUAGCCGUGAGGCUAUAAAUAUAACCCCCAUUACUUCUUCAUUUUUUUACUUUCAGUUUCUAUUUGUUUUCUCUGUUGCUUCUUCGAAAACUACUUCGCCGUUUCUAUUUGCCGGUCGCUGGGGUUCGUCAAGUUUCGAGCUUCGCCGUUUGCUUUGCUUUCCCGUUUCCGCUGCUAAUUCCGGUAAGUCUAUUUUCUUUUUUCUUUGCCCUUUUCCUUCCAUUAUGCCGCUGUUGUUUGUACGAAUCUUUUUUAACAUGCUUGCUUUUGAUUGCCUUCUCCAUAGUUGUUUUGCUGUUGCUUGUUUGUGUUUUGUGUUUGUAUGUGUUUGUUGGGGUUUUGUGAGUUUGAUUCGAAAUGGGUAGGCGUUUGUGUUUAGUCUGGGGUUUUGUAUUUCGGAAAUCUGGGUUUUGGUUUUGAAUGUUCUUGGAUUUCUUGAGUGUAACUGUAUGUAUAUGUGUAUAGUGAGUGUAUAACGGCUGGGGGUUUGAGUUUUGAUUCUUGAUUUCGUUUUGAAAUUUCUGUGAAAAUGUUUGUGGCGUUUGGGAUUCUUCGGUGAUUUGAACUGGACCCGGGUUAUAUAGUUGUACCCGGGUUGGGUAGAUUUAGGACAUGGCUGUUUUAGAUGUUUGUGAGUCGCGAGCGUAUUUGCCCGGGUAUGUACUUUAGGUCCGGGUAGGGGUUUUGGGCUGCUUUGUUUUCGUACUUAGGAGAAUUUGUUGUCCUGUAACUUGUAUGUAUAGACCCCGGUUCCUUCUUAGUACAUAGUACUCUUCUCCCCAUGGAAACCUGGGGAAAGGAGGGGACCCGGGUAGGAUCGGGUGAGCUGCUUUAGUUUUUUGUUAGCUUGGAUCCAGGUAGUGUUGUUUGUGCCUGAUCGUUUCUCUUUUCUUGAUGCUCUUCCACAUAGAAUUAGGAUGGGAUCCGGACCCAAAUAAAAUCUGUAACCAUGUGUGAAUUCUAAAACUGAUCCGGGUUGCUUUUUCAUUUAGGUUUAUGGUCCGGAUCCCUAGGCCGCCAAGGAGAGAAAUCGUUGCUUACUCAGCUGUACCCGGGGAAUUCUCUAGUGACACCGAGUGCGACGAGGUUCAAACCCUUGCUUUCCGCGCCCGGGUAAAGAUGGCUGAAAGAGAAGUUUCUUCCUCGGGAGUGGUGUCCGAGUUCCAAAAAGUGACAAAGACGAUCGGGAAGCAGGUUAUUAUGUCCCCGGAAGGUAUCUGGUGUGACUCUAAGUCUUACUUUGUCACCAAGGCUCCCCUGGUCGAGGAGAAGGGGUUUUACACCAACAUGUCCGGAUUCUACAGGCGUAAGCACCCAAACGGGAUGUUGGGACCUUACAGUAAGGAGGAGUUUGAUGAAAAGUUCCGGGAGCUGAUUGGGAUCCGGGCUCCGUUCCCGCUGAAGAGCCAUAUCAGGGAAAUGUCUCCGGACGCGGCCGAUCGAAUGAUCCGGGCCGCUUUCCAAUUGCCUCCGGAAGUCGAGUGGAGGUGGCCUGUGCCCGGGGAAAUGAUUUACCACCGGCCUGCAGAUGGUUUCGUCCCGGUGUGGAUGGAACAUCUUCGAUCCGGGUGGAAUCCCCGAUGGCAUAUUUUCUUCAAACACCUGUGUAAGUAUGAGUGGAAGGUGUCCCCGAUGCAGUUGACGCCGAACGCGGUCAAGUGGAUGACCUGGUUCCUAUGGGCGUGCAACAAGAUGAACUAUUACCCCACUUUGAGGUUGUUUCGCAUGUUGUUCCAGUUCAAGAAGUCCGGGGUAAAGCCCCUGUAUGAGCUACGCUUUCGUGCGAAGGAGUGUGGUCUGGGCACUGGGUUUGUGAGCCCGGUUAUGCACCAGAGUUCGCUGAAGGGAUGGAACGGAGAAGUCCUUAUGCUGAAGGGUCUGGACUUGGCCUUCAUGCCUUACAUGGAGACGGACGACAAGAGGGUGAAGACGGAUUCUGGAGCGCCCGGAGCAGCUGGAGAGUUCCGGACUCAGUUGGUUGAGUUCUGCACUUGUCUCGGGUUUCAGUUGACCCGGGAUACGUUUAUGCAACACAACCAAUUGCACGAGGGUGGCUGUGAGUUGCAUUUUUUCCUUAGCUUUUUGUUGCUACUUUUGUAAUAUCUCGUCCGGGUCCUCUUGUUUGUCAACUGCAUAUUAAUGUCUUGUCCGGGUCCUUUUAUCUGCAAUCUGUAUGUUGCCAUCCUGUCCGGGUCUUUUUGCUUGGAGCAUAUUCCUUAGAAUGAUUUAUUGUAGUAUUUCUUUGUAUUAACCCGAGUUCUCUUGAUUCUUGACAGGUCUUCCCUACUUUGACCCGGAUCUUUGGAGGGCCAUGUCUGCGAACGAUUCUUUUGCUGCUGCUCUGCGAAAUUUGGGAGGAGUUCAUACCCUGCCAAAGCCACAGCCGAAGGAUAAGUCGGCAAAGAAGAAAAGGGGCGCCAAGAGGGGGGAAUCCGGGUCUUCCCGCCAGGAGACAGAUGGGACCGGGCAUUCAAGUGCUACUCCGGACCCGGAGGUCCCAGUUGAAGAUCAGGAGCUGGGAGUUGAUGCUGUGGAGGUGGAGAGCCCGGUCCACGAGCCGAAGAAAAAGAAGAAGAAGACCGAUUCUUCCCAGAAACAAGUGAUUGAUAUGACGGGGGAGGAUCCGGGAAAGUCUGCGAUGGAAGUGGUGGAUCUGGGGAUCGAACUCGAGGGUGGUUCCCGCCAAGCGCCCAGGUUUGGAAAAUAUCCGGUCAAGAAAGUGAUUGGAUUAAUGUCUGAGCUCCCCUCUGACCAGGAUUGGGAGAUGAUGGAAGAUCAGGGUUUGGUCGAGAAUUUUAAGGAGAUCGGGGACCUGUGGGGUCAGGUAAUUCUCCUACCCGGGUUCAAUUUUCUUUUGUACUUUGCUUCGUUUUCCUUGUUUUUUAUAAUUCUGGUUUUUCUGACCCGGGUCUGAUGUUUCUCUGUUAGCUCGGUGGUCGCUUGGCCGGGUUCAACACCCAUGCUUUGGCUAACUUGAAGAAGGAGAGAGAUUUCUCUAUCGCUAAUCAUGCCAAAGCAGUGAAGUUGGAGAAGGAUCUUGAUAUAGAGAGGUCAGCCCGGGAAGCGUUGGAAUCGAGUUUGGCUACCAGAGUCAAGGAGGCUGAAGUUCGUAAGGAAGCUGAGCUCGGGCAGAGAGUCAAAGAUGCUGAGGCCCGGGCUGAGGGCGCGGAGAAGAAGGUUACCGGGUUGGAGCAGGAGGUGGCUGGCCUGAAGCGGGAGUUGGAGACCCGGAAAGCGCCUGCGGAGGUCAUCGCCGACUUUCAAAAGUCGAAGGUUUAUGAGGAUGCCCUGGCCAAGGCCGCAGCUGCUGAAGUCAUGCGCUGCUGGACUGUGGCUGAGAAGCAUAUCAAAACUGACCUGGGUGCUAAUGCUCAAAGCUUCAUUGACUUAUACAUUGCUGUGAAGAACAGAAUCAAUGCAGGUGGGGCGGAGCCCGAGCCUUAUGCUGUCCCGGGUCAGGAUGUGGACUCGGAUUCUUCGGCUGAAUCCGAACCGGUGGAUGAAGAGAUUCCUGUUCAAGAUCCUCCUGCCGAUGAUCAUCCCGUCCAAGACUCUCCUCCUGCUUAGAUUGAUUUUUGCCUUUGCUUUUGAAAGACAAUGUUUUUGUAAUAUCAAGUAUAUUUGUGUAUCAGGAUUGAUUAUUUGACCGGGUCUGUGUGUACCCGGGUACUAUGGAUGCUUACUUCGCUGCUUUUGAUCAACUAUUUGUUUGUCAACAAUAGGCUUGUGAAUGCUUCGUUGCUUGCUUUAUAUACUUAUCGUCCGGAUCGGUUGCUUAAAUAGUUUUGUAGUUAGAAAUUUUUUCUAAGCAAAUGAAAUAGGUGGGCCCGGGUAACAUCUACCCGGGUUGGUUGCUUACAUAGUUUUGUACUUAGAAAUUUUUUCUAAGCAAAUGAAAUAGGUGGACCCGGGUAACAUCUACCCGGGUUGGUUGCUUACAUAGUUUUGUACUUAGAAAAUUUUUCCAAGUAAACGAAGUGGAUGGACCCGGGCAAUUCUUACCCGGGUUGAUUGCUUUAUUUGUGUUUGCAUUUAGAAAUUUUUUCUAAGUAAAUAAAAUGGAUGGACCCGGGCAGUUCUUACCCGGGUUGAUUGCUUUAUUUGUGUUUGCAUUUAGAAAUUUUUUCUAAGUAAAUAAUAUGGACCCGGGUUGAUUGCUUUAACAUGUUUGCACUUAGAAAUUUUUUCUAAGUAAAUAAUAGUGGAUGGACUCGGGUAACUUCUACCCGGGUUGUAUGCUUUCAUUUGCUUUUUAUACUUAGAAAUUUUUCCAAGUUGAAUGAUUGCAUGGAUGGACCCGGGUAGAUCCUUCCCGGGUUGGUUGUUGAUAUUGCUUGGUUGCCUUAGAAAUUUUCUAAGUAAAUAAUAACAUAGAUUCAUCGGCAGCAAAAGACUUCAUUGAUAUUAAAACUAUUACACAGCUUUAGAACGAUCAAAAUACAUGAUUGCUUUUAGGGAUAUGUAGCUGUCUUCUAGGAUCCUUGUCCUUCUUCCUCAUUCUAUUGGUAGAAUUUUCUUAAUCUGAGUCCGUGCCAGGUGUUAGAUACUUCUGACCCGUCCAUAUGCUCCAGUUUGUAGGUGCCCGGCCUUAGGACUUCUUUGACUUUGUAGGGGCCUUCCCACUUAGGCAUCAGCUUGCCAGUGUUGGUUGGAUCAGAGGCUUCGGUGUCUCGUAGGACCAGGUCUCCUGUUUGACAGGUCUCCUGCUUGAAAAUUUCUAACCCGGGAUUUUUUGCUGAAGUGAUCCCGGGUCUUCUCUUUGUAUUUUUCCAUUCUUGCAAUUGCCUGAUCUCGGACCUCAUCUACCAAGUCUAAGUUGACUCGGAGUCCUUCUUCAUUCGCAAUUUCAUCAAAGUUGAUUGCUCUGUGGGAGGGUGACCCGACUUCAAUUGGGAGCAUUGCCUCCGUUCCAUAGGCCAACUUGAAGGGGGUUUCUCCGGUGCUUGUCCGGGGACUGGUUCGAUAUGACCAGAGAACAUGUGGCAAUUCUUCUGGCCAUUUGCUUUUGCUUUCUUCCAACCUCUUCUCAAUUCCUCUCAAGAGGAUCCGGUUAGUAACUUCUACCUGGCCAUUCCCUUGAGGGUAGGCGACUGAAGACUUCUUGUGUUUGAUGCCUCUUUCAGCCAGGUAGCUUUCGAAAUCUGACCCUAUGAACUGGGGUCCAUUGUCUGAUACCAGGACUCUUGGUAGCCCGAAUCUCAUUAGGAUGUUAUCCAUGAACCGGAUGACAUCUUGUUGAUUGAUUGUUCUCAUUGCCUUGGCCUCGACCCACUUGGUCAUAUAAUCAAUGGAGACAAGAAGGUAUCUGAGGUCUCCUUUAGCCCGGGGAAAAGGUCCCAUGAUGUCUAUCCCCCAUACAGCAAACGGGAUUGGGGAUAAAACUGAAGAAGGUAGGACAGGGCUUACCCGGGGCACGUUGCUGAACAGUUGACAGUUCUUGCAUCUUUUCACAAAUUCCAUUGCAUCCUGGUGGAUAGUCGGCCAGUAGUACCCCUGUCUGAUGAUUUUGUAUGCCAAGCUUUUGGCUGACAUGUGGUCUCCACAUAUUCCUUCGUGGACUUCUCUUAAACAAUACUCGGACUCUUCUGGACCGAUACAUUUCAGGAUCGGGGCUGAGUAAGUUCGUCGGAAUAGGAUCCCGCCUUCAACAAAAAACUUGGCUGCCUUAGCCUUCAGCCGUUGCGCUUUCCCCUUGUCUUCGGGUAACUCUCCCUUCUCUAUGUAGUUGAUCAGGGGAGUCAUCCAGGUAGGGUCGUUGCUGAUCUCGAAAACUUCCUCAUGUUCUAUUGUUGGCUUGUGCAAUUCUUCGAAAUAGACUGAGCUAUCUAGGUCCGCUGAAUUUUGGACCAGCCUGGAGAGGUUGUCUGCUUCAGCAUUCUCUUCCCUGUUGACUUGCAAGAUCCUGCAUCCGGGGAUCAGAGUAAGGUAGCUUUUCACCAAGGCUUGAUACUUGGUCAGGAUCGGGUCUUUGGCAAGGUAUUCUCCAUUGGUCUGCCUGACCACGAUCUGGGAAUCACUGUAGAUGGUGAGAUUUCGGAUAGACAGGGUCCGGACUAACUUUAACCCUGCUAGAAGGGCUUCGUAUUCCGCUUGGUUGUUGGUUGCUGCGAAACCGAAGGAGAUUGCUGUUUUGAUGGUGAACCCAUCCGGGCUCUUCAGGAUUAGCCCGGCUCCUGACCUUUCGGUUGUUGAGGAGCCGUCGACAUGUAGUAUCCAGGUCUCCGGGUUGAGUUUUCCCGGGGCUUCCGGGUCAGUUUCCAUGGAGGUUGUCUGGUUCUCUGGAAAGUUGCAUUCCACUACGAAGUCUGCUAGGACCUGGGCUUUGACUGCUGUUCGGGGUAGGAAUGUUAGGCUGAACUGGCUAAGUUCGAUUGCCCAAUUCACUAGUCUCCCGGAGAUGUCAGGCUUGUGAAUGAUUUUCCUUAGAGGUUGGUCUGUGACGAUCCUGAUCUCUCUUCCCUGAAAGUAGUGUCUGAGUUUCCUGGAGGCGGUGAUCAGCGCGAAAGCAAAUUUUUCUAAGUUGGGGUAUCUGGUCUCUGCAUCUUUGAGGACCUGGCUGACAUAGUAGACAGGCUUCUGCUGCCCGGCUUCUUCCCUGAUCAGGGCUGCCCCAACGGCCAAAGGUCCGGCUGACAGGUAUAGAUAGAGAGGUUCUCCGGGUAGGGCUUUUGUCAGGAUCGGGGGUUUGGACAAGUAUGCUUUUAUUUCGUCAAGAGCUCUUUGGCAAUCCGGGCUCCAUUCUACCAACUUCUGAUUUUUCGCCCCUUUUAACAACUCAAAGAACGGUAGACAUCUUUCAGCGAGUUUGGAGACAAACCUUCGGAGUGCUGCUAAGGACCCUGCUAGCUUUUGGACUUCUCUCUGAGUCCAAGGUGGUUGCAUCUCUUGUACAGCUUUGAUCUUCUCCGGAUUAGCCUCGAUACCCCGGUUGCUUACCAUGAAACCCAAAAAUUUUCCAGCCUCUACCCCGAAUGUGCACUUGUCUGGAUUGAGCUUUAGCUUAGUUCUUCUCAUGUUCUCAAAACAUUCUCGGAGGUCUGAAAUGUGACCCGGGACUGAUGUAGAUUUGGAGAUGAUGUCGUCGACGUAGCAUUCCAAAUUUCUUCCGAGUUGGUCUUUGAAAAUUUCAUUCAUUGCCUUCUGGUAUGUAGACCCGGCGUUCCUUAACCCGAAAGGCAUCAGUUUGUAGGCAUAUACUGCUCUGUGGGUUAUGAAGGCUGUUUUGGCUAUGUCUGCUGGGUUCAUCUUAACCUGGUUGUACCCGGAGAAGGCAUCCAUAAAGCUUAACAUCAGGUGUCCUGAUGUGGCAUCAAUAAGCUGGUCUAUGCUUGGUAAAGGAUAAGGGUCCUUCGGGCAUGCCGCAUUCAGAUCUGUGUAGUCAACACACAUCCUCCACUUUCCGUUUGCUUUCUUUACCAUGACUACGUUAGCUAGCCACUCCGGGUAUUUGAUCUCGCAGAUGAUAUCCGCCUUCAUCAAUUUGCCAACUUCCUCAUCUAUUGCUUUCUGCCUUUCUGGUGCGAAAUUUCUUCGUUUUUGUUUAACAGGCUUCUUUUUGGGAUCGACGUCGAGGCUGUGCAUUGCCAAUGAUUCAUCCAACCCGGGCAUGUCGUCCGGGCUCCAGGCAAAGACAUCUGCAUAGCUCCGGAGUAGUUGGAUGAGUUCCUCUUUAAAAACGGUAUUCAGGCCUUUUCCAAUUUUGACUUUCCUUGCCGGGUUGUCUUUCUCGAUCAGGACAGACUCGGUUUCGACCGCAGCUUCGACCUUAGUCAAUUCUUGUGCCGAGAUCAUUUGUUGGAUCCGGGCAUCGGUGUUCUUUUCAACAAAAUUUUGAGCUGGGCUCAUGGUUGCUUUCUGGUUGCUUUGUCCAGGACCAGGGUUGGUUGCUCCCGGGUUCUGACUGCCCGGGUCUAGGUCGAUGACCUGGACUUCACCCUUAGGGUUUGUUCUCGGGUAAGGCCGAUGUUUCUUGUUACUUCUCUGUUUUUGGAAAACGGUAGCCUUUCUCUUAUUGUCCAGGUGCGUUUCUGCCAUGAUCAAGGCUUGGCUGUAACACAUCCCGGCUGUUGCCGAAUCUCCUCUGACUUCCCCUACCCCGAACGGGGUUGGGAACUUGAACUUUAGGUGUGGGAUGGAAGUAAUAGCUUCGAUCUUGUUCAGACCUGGGCGGCCGAUGAUCACAUUGUAAGGGGAGGGUGUAUCCGUCACAUAGAAUUUGAUGGUAUGAGUGACUUGGUUCGGAAGAGUUCCGAAUCGGACCGGGAGAUAGAGUGUGCCAAGGACCGGGACAAUGCUAUUCCCGAACCCAUAUAGAGGAUCCUCCCUGUAAUCGUUCAUCCGGAUACUCCCGAGCUCCAUUCGAUCCAUGGUGUGUUUGAACAAGAUGUUGGCCGAGGAGCCGUUGUCCACCAGGAUCCUCCUUACUUCAUUUUCGGCCAUGUCAAGGGUCACUACCAAGGCUUGAUUGUGACCCCGGGUGACUCCUUCGAAGUCCUUGUUGCUGAAGGAAAUCACUUGUUCGGGGAAGGCUUGGAUGGACAUCACUUCUUGACGGGAGUCCGGGCUGGGAGGAGGGGAACAGGAUCCGCCCAGUACCACGUUGACAAUGUUCUUUUGUUUCCCCGAUCCCUCUCCCUUGUUUGCUGUGUUCCGGGCUAUGUAUUGUCCCAUGUUGCCUUUGCUGAUUUGCUCUUCAAUGAAAUAUUUGAGGGAUAUGCAGUUUUCUGUUUUGUGACCGUGGGUGCCAUGAUAGUCACAAUGUCGGUUAGCAGGUCUGCUCUCUGGAGGAGUCUGCAUAGGUUUUGGUGGGUAGUAGAAGGGUUUGUCUCUGAUUUCUUUGAGUAUAUCCUCUCGGGAUCUGUUUAGAGGGGUCCAUUCGGGCUCUGGUUUUGGUUCCCUGGUUGCUCUGUUUGGACCGGGGUCACUCCUGGACCCGGAUCCCUGUUGGCUGGUUCUCUUAGAACCUGAUUGCUGGAUGAAGUUUGUUUGUCUGUCUGGUUUGAAUUUCUUAUCCUGGUGAUAUUCUUUCCUGGGUCUAUCUUCGAUUUGUUUUCCUUUUGAACUGCCCUGCCGGGUCAUCCUCAUUGCUUGGAGCACAUCGGUUUCCUUGAUGAAUUUUGCGGCCAUGGCAUAGGCAGCUGCCAGGCUCUGGGGCUCCUUGUUGAUCAACUCGACCACAUAUCUCUCAUUUUGUUCUGGGUCCAAGUUCCUUCGGAAUAUGCUCAGAGCCUCACGCUCGUCCAGGUUGGAGAUUUUGUUGAUUGCUUCCUGGAAACGUUUCAUGUAAUCUGAGAGUGCCUCAUUGUCAUACUGGCGAACCGUUUCCAGGUGACACAUAUGGAGUUCAUGUGUCCUGUUUGCUCGGAACCUUCUGAGGAAGGCUUCCCUGAAGUCUUUCCAGGACCCGAUGCUCCGGGAGGGGAUCCGGCUGAACCAUCUUUGGGCCCCUCCCUUGAAUGUGGAUGCGAAGAAGCGGCAUUUGGUCAGGUCAUUGUAGUAGUAGAUCAGGGCUAUCUGUUCAAAAUAGUGUAGAUGUUCUUCCGGGUCUCCCAGUCCAUUGAAAGAUUCAAAGUUGUAGUGCUUCAUACCCUUUUGUCGGGGUAUGGAUUCCAAGGAGUGGCUGAAGGGAGUCAGGGUUCCCCCAAUUUCAAGCCCGGAAUCAUUUCCGAUUUUCCGGUUGAGCUCAUUGAUCAUGUCUCUGAGGUUGGUUUGCCCCGGUCUCUCAUCCUCGUCAUCAGAGAUGAGUUCGGGUGUUGCUUCCUUCCGGUAUCGCUUGGACCGGGAUCCCUUUAUCAAUUUCUCUUCUUCGAGUUGCAUCCGGAUGGCAAUUUUUUGUUCAAGUUUUUCCUCUUCCUCUUUUCGGAUCUGUUCUUUUCUUUCAGCUAAGAUUCUUAGCCGGGUUUCCUCACUAUCUUUCUGUUUCUUUUUCUUGGCUUUGUCUCCGAUCCGGUCGAAGACGGAACCCCGGGAUUGACGGCUGUUCCCGGAGUCCUCGGAUUCACCGAUGUCCUCAAGUCUACGGUUGCUUUCCCGGCGAUCAUGGUACUGCCGGAUGGCUUCGGCCAGCUCUACAUUGGUGAGUUGGGAUAGGUGGAGGGUGGUGACCGGGACAUCGGUGUACUUGUACUGGUUUGCUUCGAUCGUGACCCGGGCAUCAUUGGGGUUGAUGGUUUGGUUCUCCUCCGGGUUCACAUGGGUGAAAAGGGGUCCUGAGGCAUGAUCCUGGUUCGGGUUAUCCUGGUCUGUCUGAGGGUUAUCCGGGUUCUGGGGAAGACCCAGGUGGGAGCGUGUCCUUUUUGUCAUGGUCACAAGAACUUACACAGGGUGUAUGGUUGCUGUUUUGGUGGUCGUGCCCACAAAUGGUAUAGAUAGUGACAGGAUGACAAAAAUAGUGUGCACAAGUAGUCAACUUACUAUUUUCAGAGAUACCACAAAUAGUUAAGUGACAAAAUGUGUGCAGGUGUGUGACAAAAGAUUUUAUGUGCUACAGACAAGAUUAGGGUUUUGCUCAGACAGGGUUUGCUAACAUGCUCAUAUCAAGAAAAACCAUGGCUGAGGGUUCUGAGAAGCUGGGUGUUUGGUGAGAGCUUACUGGUGUUAUUUGGACCCCCGUUUCGGGGGUUUGUUGAAGAAGAUGAGUCCAGUGGCACCGUGACCACAGGACAGAGGACACCUUCCCCUCCUUCUAGCGCCAAAUGAUAACGCCGAUCUCCGAUCCCGGUCCUUCCUCCGCCGUGACUGGUGGCUCCGUGGUGUAGCUGCUGGAUGGGAGCCUACAAAACAACGCCGGCGGGGGGGUUUGGCCCCAAAGCGCCUCCGGCGUGAGAGUAAGCGUAGGUUUUGGAAGGGUAAAGAUACGAGAAAGUGUUAUCUAUGUGUGGUGGGUGAAGGUGUAUGUGUGGUGGUUGCUGGUGGCUGAGAGUGUUUGAGUAUAUGCUGAGUGUAAGUGUGUGUAUGAAUGAGUGUGUAGAGAGAGUUCAGUUAACCCCUAAACUCUUGAUCCUUGGUCUAUUUAUAGGCCAAGGAUUAGGGUUUAAGGGUGAGUACCUGGAUCCUGGUCCUACACGUGUAGGGGUUUGAUCCCCAACACGUGUCCAGGUGUCAGCGUAGGAGUAGUAUUUUGGAAUGUUCCCUGGCUUGUCUCUAUCGCCAGUAGUUGACCGUUGCAUUUGUCUUUAUUGUGUCAGUCCGUGCCUCGUGCAGCAAGUGUCGGCUGGUACAAGUUUGGACCCCGGUCGAGGGACAUGUUUAGGAGGUACCCGGGUCCAAUUCCUGUCCCGGGUGACGUAGGCCUGAGAUGCCAUACUCCCAGAGGAUCAUGGCUUUCAAGAGGGUCCGGGUGACGUAGACCCGGGUUAUACCAUAUC
rnacentral:lncRNA from 1 species